rnacentral:rRNA from 1 species
UUACACAUGCAAAAAUCCGUAAACCAGUGUCAAAUCCCCUAAAGCUUUAAAAUAAAACCUAGGGAGAGGGCAUCAAGCACAUAUUUCAAUAGCUAAAGACGCCUUGCCAAGCCACGCCCCCACGGAUUCAGCAGUGAUAAAAAUUAAGCAAUGAACGAAAGUUUGACUAAGUUAUACCUCUCAAGGGUUGGUAAAUUUCGUGCCAGCCACCGCGGUCAUACGAUUAACCCAAAUUAAUUAUUAAACGGCGUAAAACGUGUCCAUAGGAAAAAACAAAUAGAAUUAAAAACCAGCUAAUAUGUGAAAAUUCAUAGAUGGUACUAAAAUCAGUAACGAAAGUAAUUCUAAUUAACUUAAUACACGAUAGCUAAGAUCCAAACUGGGAUUAGAUACCCCACUAUGCUUAGCCCUAAACUUUAACGAUUAAAUAACAAAAUCAUUUGCCUGAGAACUACUGGCCACCGCUUAAAACUCAAAGGACUUGGCGGUACUUUAUAUCCGUCUAGAGGAGCCUGUUCUAUAAUCGAUAAACCCCGUUAUACCUCACCAUCCCUUGCUAAUUCAGCCUAUAUACCGCCAUCUUCAGCAAACCUUAAAAAGGAAUAAAAGUAAGCAAGAGAAUCACCAUAAAAACGUUAGGUCAAGGUGUAGCUUAUGAGAUGGGAAGCAAUGGGCUACAUUUUCUUAAAAAGAACAUUACGAUAUCCUUAUUGAAACAUAAGGACUAAGGAGGAUUUAGUAGUAAAUUAAGAA